CGAGAGGUCCCAAGCGUUGUUCGGAUUCACUGGGCGUAAAGGGUGCGUAGGCGGUGGGAUAAGUCUGGUGUGAAAGCUCGGAGCUCAACUCCGAAAUUGCAUUGGAAACUAUCUCACUAGAGGAUUGGAGGGGAGACUGGAAUUCUCAGUGUAGCAGUGAAAUGCGUAGAUAUUGAGAGGAACACCAGUGGCGAAGGCGAGUCUCUGGACAAUUCCUGACGCUGAGGCACGAAAGCCGGGGGAGCAAACAGGAUUAGAUACCCUGGUAGUCCCGGCUGUAAACGGUGCACGUUUGCUGUAAGCGGAUUCGACCCCGCUUGUGGCGUAGCUAACGCGAUAAACGUGCCGCCUGGGGAGUACGGUCGCAAGAUUA
rnacentral:rRNA from 1 species